rnacentral:rRNA from 1 species
GCAAGUCGAGCGGUAACAGAAAGUAGCUUGCUACUUUGCUGACGAGCGGCGGACGGGUGAGUAAUGCUUGGGAACAUGCCUUGAGGUGGGGGACAACAGUUGGAAACGACUGCUAAUACCGCAUAAUGUCUACGGACCAAAGGGGGCUUCGGCUCUCGCCUUUAGAUUGGCCCAAGUGGGAUUAGCUAGUUGGUGAGGUAAUGGCUCACCAAGGCGACGAUCCCUAGCUGGUUUGAGAGGAUGAUCAGCCACACUGGGACUGAGACACGGCCCAGACUCCUACGGGAGGCAGCAGUGGGGAAUAUUGCACAAUGGGCGCAAGCCUGAUGCAGCCAUGCCGCGUGUGUGAAGAAGGCCUUCGGGUUGUAAAGCACUUUCAGUCAGGAGGAAAGGUUAGUAGUUAAUACCUGCUAGCUGUGACGUUACUGACAGAAGAAGCACCGGCUAACUCCGUGCCAGCAGCCGCGGUAAUACGGAGGGUGCGAGCGUUAAUCGGAAUUACUGGGCGUAAAGCGUACGCAGGCGGUUUGUUAAGCGAGAUGUGAAAGCCCCGGGCUCAACCUGGGAACUGCAUUUCGAACUGGCAAACUAGAGUGUG